UACGGGGGGGGGCAAGCGUUGUUCGGAAUUACUGGGCGUAAAGGGCUCGUAGUUGGCCAACUAAGUCAGACGUGAAAUCCCUCGGCUUAACCGGGGAACUGCGUCUGAUACUGGAUGGCUUGAGAUUGGGAGAGGGAUGCGGAAUUCCAGGUGUAGCGGUGAAAUGCGUAGAUAUCUGGAGGAACACCGGUGGCGAAGGCGGCAUCCUGGACCAACACUGACACUGAGGAGCGAAAGCCAGGGGAGCAAACGGG
rnacentral:rRNA from 1 species